ACAAGUAGUUAGAGCCCGUUAAUGGGUGAUAGCGUGCCUUUUGUAGAAUGAACCGGCGAGUUACGAUUUGUUGCAAGGUUAAGCGGAAAAAGCGGAGCCGUAGCGAAAGCGAGUCUGAAUAGGGCGCAUAAGUAACAGGUCGUAGACCCGAAACCAGGUGAUCUACCCAUGUCCAGGAUGAAGGUAAGGUAAUACUUACUGGAGGUCCGAACCCACGCACGUUGAAAAGUGCGGGGAUGAGGUGUGGGUAGCGGAGAAAUUCCAAUCGAACUUGGAGAUAGCUGGUUCUCUCCGAAAUAGCUUUAGGGCUAGCCUCGAGGUAAAGAGUCAUGGAGGUAGAGCACUGUUUGGACUAGGGGCCCUUCUCGGGUUACCGAAUUCAGAUAAACUCCGAAUGCCAUGUACUUAUACUCGGGAGUCAGACUGCGAGUGAUAAGAUCCGUAGUCGAAAGGGAAACAGCCCAGACCACCAGUUAAGGUCCCCAAAUAUAUGUUAAGUGGAAAAGGAUGUGGGGUUGCUUAGACAACCAGGAUGUUGGCUUAGAAGCAGCCACCAUUGAAAGAGUGCGUAAUAGCUCACUGGUCGAGUGACCCCGCGCCGAAAAUGUACCGGGGCUAAACAUAUUACCGAAACUGUGGAUGAACCUCUUUAGAGGUUCGUGGUAGGAGAGCGUUCUAAGGGCGGUGAAGUCAGACCGGAAGGACUGGUGGAGCGCUUAGAAGUGAGAAUGCCGGUAUGAGUAGCGAAAGAAGGGUGAGAAUCCCUUCCACCGAAUAUCUAAGGUUUCCUGAGGAAGGCUCGUCCGCUCAGGGUUAGUCGGGACCUAAGCCGAGGCCGAUAGGCGUAGGCGAUGGACAACAGGUAGAGAUUCCUGUACCAGUGCUAAUUGUUUAACCGAUGGGGUGACACAGAAGGAUAGGGAAUCGCACGAAUGGAAAUGUGCGUCCAAGCAGUGAGUGUGAGAAGUAGGCAAAUCCGCUUCUCGCGAAGCAUGAGCUGUGAUGGGGAAGGAAAUUAAGUACGGAAGUUCCUGAUUUCACGCUGUCAAGAAAAGCCUCUAGGAAGAGUAGUACUGCCCGUACCGCAAACCGACACAGGUAGAUGAGGAGAGAAUCCUAAGGUGAGCGAGAGAACUCUCGUUAAGGAACUCGGCAAAAUGACCCCGUAACUUCGGGAGAAGGGGUGCUCUAUUAGGGUGCAAGCCCGAGAGAGCCGCAGUGAAUAGGCCCAGGCGACUGUUUAGCAAAAACACAGGUCUCUGCAAAACCGUAAGGUGACGUAUAGGGGCUGACGCCUGCCCGGUGCUGGAAGGUUAAGAGGAGUGCUUAGCUUCGGCGAAGGUACGAAUUGAAGCCCCAGUAAACGGCGGCCGUAACUAUAACGGUCCUAAGGUAGCGAAAUUCCUUGUCGGGUAAGUUCCGACCCGCACGAAAGGCGCAACGAUCUGGGCACUGUCUCAACGAGAGACUCGGUGAAAUUAUAGUACCUGUGAAGAUGCAGGUUACCCGCGACAGGACGGAAAGACCCCGUGGAGCUUUACUGCAACCUGAUAUGGAAUGUUUGUACCGCUUGUACAGGAUAGGUAGGAGCCGAAGAGACGUGUGCGCUAGCAUACGAGGAGGCAAUGGUGGGAUACUACCCUGGCUGUAUGACCAUUCUAACCCGCCACGCUUAGCGCGUGGGGAGACAGUGUCAGGUGGGCAGUUUGACUGGGGCGGUCGCCUCCUAAAGAGUAACGGAGGCGCCCAAAGGUUCCCUCAGAAUGGAUGGAAAUCAUUCGCAGAGUGUAAAGGCACAAGGGAGCUUGACUGCGAGACUGACAAGUCGAGCAGGGACGAAAGUCGGGCUUAGUGAUCCGGUGGUUCCGCAUGGAAGGGCCAUCGCUCAACGGAUAAAAGCUACCCCGGGGAUAACAGGCUUAUCUCCCCCAAGAGUCCACAUCGACGGGGAGGUUUGGCACCUCGAUGUCGGCUCGUCGCAUCCUGGGGCUGUAGUCGGUCCCAAGGGUUGGGCUGUUCGCCCAUUAAAGCGGCACGCGAGCUGGGUUCAGAACGUCGUGAGACAGUUCGGUCCCUAUCCGUCGCGGGCGCAGGAAAUUUGAGAGGAGCUGUCCUUAGUACGAGAGGACCGGGAUGGACACACCGCUGGUGUACCAGUUGUUCCGCCAGGAGCAUCGCUGGGUAGCUAUGUGUGGCAGGGAUAAACGCUGAAAGCAUCUAAGCGUGAAGCCCCCCUCAAGAUGAGAUUUCCCAUUUCUUCGGAAAGUAAGAUCCCUGAAAGAUGAUCAGGUAGAUAGGUUUGGAGUGGAAGUGUAGCGAUACAUGGAGCGGACAAAUACUAAUCGAUCGAGGACUUAACCAAAA
rnacentral:rRNA from 1 species